UGGCUAUGGAAAAAUCUCCUGUUGCAAGCAAGAAAAACAUGGUUAACUUGGAUUCAGCAACUGCAUCUUUGAUUUGGGGUGAAGCUAAGGAAAGAAUACAAGAUGCUAACAUCAUCCAAGUUAACCAUCACGGCGUAUCUGGAUGCGACAUGUGGGGAUGAAGUUCUGCAGACAAAAACUCAUCACGAUUGAUGAAAAGUAUGAUCUAUUUCCAACUUUGUAA
rnacentral:misc_RNA from 1 species